rnacentral:rRNA from 1 species
UACGAAGGGGGCAAGCGUUGUCCGGAUUUAUUGGGCGUAAAGAGCGUGUAGGCGGCCAGACAGGUCCGUUGUGAAAACUAGAGGCUUAACCUCUAGACGUCGAUGGAAACCGUCUGGCUAGAGUCCGGAAGAGGAGAAUGGAAUUCCUGGUGUAGCGGUGAAAUGCGCAGAUAUCAGGAAGAACACCCGUGGCUAAGGCGGUUCUCUAGUACGGUACUGACGCUGAGACGCGAAGGCGUGGGGAGCGAACAGG